rnacentral:ncRNA from 1 species
AUAAGCGGGGGCGCUGUCAUGGCUGAGAUAACACGAAAGUGUUUGUCCCUUAGAACUUGAUCCGGAUAAUGCCGGCGAAAGGAGUUUCAUUAA